AGAGUUUGAUCAUGGCUCAGAUCGAACGCUGCCGGCGUCGAUAAGACAUGCAAGUCGAACGAGACUUUUCGCUUGUAGCAAUACGAUGGAAUAGUUUAGUGGCGAACGGGUGCUUAACACGUGGGCAUCCUGCCAUGAAGUGGGGGAUAGCUCGUCGAAAGGCGAAUUAAUACCGCAUGUGCAUUAGAGUGGACAUCCGUUCAAAAUUAAAGUCGGGGCAACCUGACGCUUCUUGUGGGGCCCGCGGCCUAUCAGCUAGUUGGUGAGGUAACGGCCCACCAAGGCUUUGACGGGUAGCUGGUCUGAGAGGACGACCAGCCACACUGGGACUGAGACACGGCCCAGACACCUACGGGUGGCAGCAGUCGAGAAUUUUUGACAAUGGGGGAAACCCUGAUCGAGCGACGCCGCGUGGAGGAUGAAGGUCUUCGGAUUGUAAACUCCUGUCAUUGGGGAACAAUGCACAGAUAUUAACUGUAUUUGUGUUGAUAGUACCCGAAGAGGAAGGGACGGCUAACUCUGUGCCAGCAGCCGCGGUAAUACAGAGGUCCCAAGCGUUGUUCGGAUUCAUUGGGCGUAAAGGGUGCGUAGGCGGCGCGGUAAGUCGGGUGUGAAAUCUCGGGGCUUAACUCCGAAACUGCAUUCGAUACUGCCGUGCUUGAGGACUGGAGAGGAGACUGGAAUUUACGGUGUAGCGGUGAAAUGCGUAGAUAUCGUAAGGAAGACCAGUGGCGAAGGCGGGUCUCUGGACAGUUCCUGACGCUGAGGCACGAAGGUCAGGGGAGCAAACGGGAUUAGAUACCCCCGUAGUCC
rnacentral:rRNA from 1 species